rnacentral:rRNA from 1 species
AGUGAACGCUGGCGGUAGGCCUAACACAUGCAAGUCGAACGGCAGCACAGUAAGAGCUUGCUCUUACGGGUGGCGAGUGGCGGACGGGUGAGGAAUACAUCGGAAUCUACUUUUUCGUGGGGGAUAACGUAGGGAAACUUACGCUAAUACCGCAUACGACCUACGGGUGAAAGCAGGGGAUCUUCGGACCUUGCGCGAUUGAAUGAGCCGAUGUCGGAUUAGCUAGUUGGCGGGGUAAAGGCCCACCAAGGCGACGAUCCGUAGCUGGUCUGAGAGGAUGAUCAGUCACACUGGAACUGAGACACGGUCCGGACUCCUACGGGAGGCAGCAGUGGGGAAUAUUGGACAAUGGGCGCAAGCCUGAUCCAGCCAUACCGCGUGGGUGAAGAAGGCCUUCGGGUUGUAAAGCCCUUUUGUUGGGAAAGAAAAGCAGCAGGUUAAUACCCCGCUGUUCUGACGGUACCCAAAGAAUAAGCACCGGCUAACUUCGUG